rnacentral:rRNA from 1 species
UACGGAGGGUGCAAGCGUUAUCCGGAUUCACUGGGUUUAAAGGGUGCGUAGGUGGGAUGGUAAGUCAGUGGUGAAAUCUCCGGGCUUAACCCCGGAACUGCCGUUGAUACUAUCAUUCUUGAAUAUUGUGGAGGUAAGCGGAAUAUGUCAUGUAGCGGUGAAAUGCUUAGAUAUGACAUAGAACACCGAUAGCGAAGGCAGCUUGCUACACAAUUAUUGACACUGAGGCACGAAAGCGUGGGGAUCAAACAGG